GACGAACGCUGGCGGCGUGCCUAAUACAUGCAAGUAGAACGCUGAAGAGAGGAGCUUGCUCUUCUUGGAUGAGUUGCGAACGGGUGAGUAACGCGUAGGUAACCUGCCUGGUAGCGGGGGAUAACUAUUGGAAACGAUAGCUAAUACCGCAUAAUAUUAAUUAUUGCAUGAUAAUUAAUUGAAAGAUGCAACUGCAUCACUACCAGAUGGACCUGCGUUGUAUUAGCUAGUUGGUGAGGUAACGGCUCACCAAGGCGACGAUACAUAGCCGACCUGAGAGGGUGAUCGGCCACACUGGGACUGAGACACGGCCCAGACUCCUACGGGAGGCAGCAGUAGGGAAUCUUCGGCAAUGGGGGGAACCCUGACCGAGCAACGCCGCGUGAGUGAAGAAGGUUUUCGGAUCGUAAAGCUCUGUUGUAAGAGAAGAACGGGUGUGAGAGUGGAAAGUUCACACUGUGACGGUAUCUUACCAGAAAGGGACGGCUAACUACGUGCCAGCAGCCGCGGUAAUACGUAGGUCCCGAGCGUUGUCCGGAUUUAUUGGGCGUAAAGCGAGCGCAGGCGGUUAGAUAAGUCUGAAGUUAAAGGCUGUGGCUUAACCAUAGUAUGCUUUGGAAACUGUUUAACUUGAGUGCAGAAGGGGAGAGUGGAAUUCCAUGUGUAGCGGUGAAAUGCGUAGAUAUAUGGAGGAACACCGGUGGCGAAAGCGGCUCUCUGGUCUGUAACUGACGCUGAGGCUCGAAAGCGUGGGGAGCAAACAGG
rnacentral:rRNA from 1 species